UAAUGGCCUACCAAGGCGACGAUCGGUAGCUGGUCUGAGAGGGCGCACGGACACACUGGAACUGAAACACGGUCCAGACUCCUACGGGAGGCAGCAGUGGGGAAUUAUGCGCAAUGGGGGAAACCCUGACGCAGCAACGCCGCGUGGAGGAUGAAGGUCUUUGGAUUGUAAACUCCUUUCGAUCGGGACGAUUAUGACGGUACCGGAAGAAGAAUCACCGGCUAACUCUGUGCCAGCAGCCGCGGUAAUACAGAGGGUGCAAGCGUUGUUCGGAAUUAUUGGGCGUAAAGGGCGCGUAGGCGGUGCGGUAAGUCUUUAGUGAAAUCGCUCGGCUCAACUGGGCGGGGUCAGCGGAUACGGUGUCGCUUGAGCAAGCUAGGGGGCAAUGGAAUUCCCGGUGUAGUGGUGGAAUG
rnacentral:rRNA from 1 species